rnacentral:lncRNA from 10 species
CAACCGGCUGCGGUGGGUUUGUGUGGUGUGGACGGUUAGUUCUUUUUGUUCUUCCCAAUAAUAUUUGCUGCUGUUCAUUGAUUGGGUCCUGGCUGCCUUUAUGAGCUGUAACACUCACUGUGAAGGUCUGCAGCUUCACUCCUGAAGCCCACGAGACCAGGAACCCACCAGAAGGAAAAAAUUCGGGAUAUAUCUGAACAUCAGAGGGAGCAAACUCCGGACCCACCAUCUUUAAGAACUGUAACACUCACUGUGAGGGUCUGCAGCGUGUUCUUGAAGUCCGGGAGACCAAGAACCCACCAAUUCCGGACACAGUGAAACUUGGGCCAGCUCCUGUUCAGUUCAAACUGGUUGAGACCACUGACACUUCAACGGAGCCUGUGCAAGUGCCCGAGAGGUGGCCUUUUGACUUCAGAAGGCCCAAAGUUCCACCCUUAUGUUAUGCUAAUGCCGCCUUUCUAUACAUAUGUCCUAUGAAAUACUGUGAACCCUGUGCAGAAAGAACCUGUUACUUCAUUUUCCCCCACUGCCAAUCACCUUUCCUCACCCUGUGUCCCUAACCCAUAAAUAUCCCUCAGCCUUAUCUUCAGGGAAGUGGAUUUGAAAACUAUUCUCCCACCUCCGCACUUGGUGUCCUUGGGAAUAAAUUCUUUCCCUCUUACAAAACUA